UACGUAGGCAGCAAGCGUUGUUCGGAAUUAUUGGGCGUAAAGAGCUCGUAGGCGGUUCGUCGCGUCGGCUGUGAAAACCCGGAGCUCAACUCCGGGCCUGCAGUCGAUACGGGCGGACUUGAGUGUUGCAGGGGAGACUGGAAUUCCUGGUGUAGCGGUGAAAUGCGCAGAUAUCAGGAGGAACACCGGUGGCGAAGGCGGGUCUCUGGGCAACUACUGACGCUGAGGAGCGAAAGCGUGGGGAGCGAACAGG
rnacentral:rRNA from 1 species